AGUGAGUUUUAACAACUAAACAGGCAUUCUCAGUAGUCCCAGAGGCUGAGAAUGGUCAAGGGAGCACUGAGCAGGUCACCUAUCAUAGCCCAGGAGAGCAUGAAGAAUGGGUUCUGGGUAAGCUUGCUGGAGGAGGAGACCUGUAACUUGAAGGAAGAGCAGGAGUUAGCCUGGUGAAGAGAAGGGUGGACCAUACACGUAAAUGCCCAGGGUAAGAGCGUGACAGGAAUAGGCAGACUGAAAAGCAUUAAGUCUGGAGUUAAGGAGAGCUCUGUUGGGAACGUCCUCACAACAUGGCAGCUGGCUUACCCCAGAGUGAAUGAUUAGAGAGAGAGCAAAGAUGCAGCCACAGUGUCUUUUAUAACUUAGCCUCAGAAGGGAUGUGCCAUUAUUUCCACCAUGCUCUAUCAGUCACUCAGACCAACUCUGAUAAAAUGUGUUCAGACCAACUCUGAUAAAAUGUGUUAGAGGACUACACAAGAUCAUGAAUAACAGGAAGCAAGGAUCAUUGGGAGUCAUCUCAAAGGCUGAUAAUGACAAACAGCGAAACGAAACUGAGACCAGAGAUUCAAGUUCAACAAACUGAGGCUGGUGGAUUUUCUGGGGGACAGUACCCAAGAGAUGGAAGCUACAUAAAGAGAAAGAGAAAGAGAAAUCUGCACAGUGAUCCCCUGGAGUUUCUGGCUGAAGGGCAGCCUGCCCAUGCAUAGGAACAAGCCCAACAAUUCUCAGAGCUCACGCAGAGCUGGGAACUGUUUGAGUUUCCACUAGCCAGAGUGGAGAGGCCUCAGUAAAUAUACCAGGUAUUUGGAAGACAAGCAGAAAGACCACACCACAGAAGCACUGCUAAGUUUGCCCUAGACAAAAGGCUACUGCAGAACCAUCCUAAAAGAACUUAACAAGAAAACUGGAAAGCAUCAAACUGACCCACAAGGAACUUAAAUGUCUACUAGAACAAAGUUGUUAAGGGACUACAACGCCCUCCAGCACUCAAAAAUGUGAAAUUCACAAUAUGCACUGACCAAACAAACAAAAAGCCUGCUUGGAUUCUGACUGGGAUUAAACUGAAUUUAUAGAUCAA